rnacentral:misc_RNA from 1 species
AGCUUUACUCCUGCCAGCUUGGGAAAAGGCCGGAGAAGGUGAAAUUCUGUGUGCUCCCUCCGGCGAGAGACUUUGUCAGCUCCCGCACAGUAACUAGCAGAAGCAGAGUCCCAGGAUCCAUUUCUUACGUUACUAUGCGAGAUGCAGAAGAGAGAGUGUUUUGCUCUGUUGGCUAGGCUGGAGUGCAGUGGUUGGGUCAUGGCUCACUGCAGCUGUUACUGGAUAGAGGUCCCGAUGCAUAUCCUAAGAGAAGGUUCUUGGAUAUCAUGCAAGAAAGAAUUUCAGGUGAAUCCAUAAAGCAAGAGCAAGUUUAUUAACAAAGUAAGGGAAUAAAAGAAUGGCCAUUCCAUAGUCAGAAUAGCAGCUUGAGCUGCUUGAAUGAUAAUACUUAUAGUUAUUUCUUGAU